CCUACGGGAGGCAGCAGUGGGGAAUAUUGCACAAUGGGGGAAACCCUGAUGCAGCGACGCCGCGUGAGCGAGGAAGUAUUUCGGUAUGUAAAGCUCUAUCAGCAGGGACGAAAAAAGACGGUACCUGACCAAGAAGCACCGGCUAACUACGUGCCAGCAGCCGCGGUAAGACGUAGGGGGCAAGCGUUAUCCGGAUUUACUGGGUGUAAAGGGAGCGUAGACGGCAAGGCAAGCCAGAAGUGAAAGGGCAGGGCUCAACCCUGUACAUGCUUUUGGAACUGUGGUGCUAGAGUGCAGGAGAGGUAAGUGGAAUUCCUAGUGUAGCGGUGAAAUGCGUAGAUAUUAGGAGGAACACCAGUGGCGAAGGCGGCUUACUGGACUGUAACUGACGUUGAGGCUCGAAAGCGUGGGGAGUAAACAGGAUUAGAUACCCUUGUAGUC
rnacentral:rRNA from 1 species